rnacentral:rRNA from 1 species
UACGUAGGUGACAAGCGUUGUCCGGAUUUACUGGGCGUAAAGAGCGCGCAGGCGGUCGAUCAAGUCGAGUGUGAAAGCCCCCGGCUCAACUGGGGAGGGUCAUUCGAAACUGAUCGACUUGAAGGCAGGAGAGGGUAGUGGAAUUCCCGGUGUAGUGGUGAAAUGCGUAGAUAUCGGGAGGAACACCAGUGGCGAAGGCGACUGCCUGGGCUAGUCUUGACGCUGAUGCACGAAAGCUAGGGGAGCAAACGGG